UCUCCCCUUAGUACAUAAUCUGAUUGUUAUGCUUUGAUGGUUAGAGGUCUUCCAUAUUUAUAAAUAAUUUUUUAUGACCCAAUAGACUAGGAGUCUCAAUUCAAAUCAGUUUUAAAUUAUUUCAUCUCUUAUCUUAGAAGGAGUCCUAAUUAAGAUACGAUAGGCACCUAACUUGAUGCCCCCAUGCACCCACGCCUACACCCAAGAGGAGGGGCGG
rnacentral:lncRNA from 1 species